UACGUAGGUGGCAAGCGUUGUCCGGAUUUACUGGGCGUAAAGAGCGCGCAGGCGGUCGUACAAGUCGCGUGUGAAAGCCCCCGGCUCAACUGGGGAGGGUCACGCGAUACUGUUCGACUCGAAGGCAGGAGAGGGUAGUGGAAUUCCCGGUGUAGUGGUGAAAUGCGUAGAUAUCGGGAGGAACACCAGUGGCGAAGGCGACUACCUGGCCUGUUCUUGACGCUGAGGCGCGAAAGCUAGGGUAGCAAACGGG
rnacentral:rRNA from 1 species